ACCCAGGGCCCUGCCUAUGGGGGUUGGAGUUCUAGCUUAAAUUCAAGCAGCUGAAAACACAAGAAAUAAGAAGACCAUUCUGAGAAGAGCAGAUAGUCACCUUAAGAAAAAUCCCUGUCAUACGCACUCUGGGAUUUGGACUCAAAUCCUAAUUAUACAGAUACACAGAGAAGAAGGAAGUCUGCAACACAGAAAAGGGACCUGACCAGAACCCAACCAUGCUGGUACCCUGAACUCAGACUUCCAGCCUCCAGAACUGAAAAAUGGCCUUUUCAACCAAGGAUGUAGCUUCAAAAGGACGUAAAUAGAACCAUGAAACCCAGAAAGACGUCAUAGUUGAUUGCUCUCACAUUCAGCAGCUGUGUUUUGAGACACCCGUUAGAAGGCAUGUUGUCUAA